rnacentral:rRNA from 1 species
GUCCACGCCGUAAACGGUGGGCGCUAGGUGUGGGGCCAUUCCACGGUCUCUGUGCCGCAGCUAACGCAUUAAGCGCCCCGCCUGGGGAGUACGGCCGCAAGGCUAAAACUCAAAGGAAUUGACGGGGCCCGCACAAGCGGCGGAGCAUGUGGAUUAAUUCGAUGCAACGCGAAGAACCUUACCUGGGUUUGACAUGCACCAGACGCACGCAGAGAUGUGUGUUCCCUUGUGGUUGGUGUGCAGGUGGUGCAUGGCUGUCGU